rnacentral:rRNA from 1 species
GAUGGAGAUCAUGUGCCGCGGCACUACGACCUGAAGGGGCGACGCAGCGGCGGCGGGGAUCGGUGCAGCCACGGGGAGAACCACGGGGCGGCGGCGCUGCGGCCCGACGGGGCGACACAGCGGCAGCCUGUUGCUCGAUCGAUGAAGAGGCGUGUAAACUUGACGUUGAUCUUCACUAAAUCCUGCGGAAGCGUGCAUCGAAUUAUCAGACUGGAUGGGACGGUGCGGGAGCAGGAGCCCGCUAUCAAGGAGAUGUGCCAAGCUCGCUUUAAAAAUUUGUACGGGUCGGCCGAAUAUACGAAGCUUCCAGAAGAAUCUUCGCCCGCGCGGAUGGAGAACCGACAGAAUACUGGCCUCAAGAAGCGGAAGCUUCUGAGGACGGUGCGGGAGCAGGAGCCUGCUAUCUGUGGAAAUUGUAGAACCCUGAAGGAGAUGGAAAGCAAGGUCAAGAACCUCCGGGACGACAACAACCGGCUCCGCGGCGAGCUGCUCGACAAGGACCGGCAGCUUGCGGUGACGCGGACACUUUUAGUUGACAGGGAGCGUCAGCUUACGAAGACCCAGACACUUCUAGCUGACAGGGAGCAGCAGCUUGAGGCCCGGACACUUCUGGUUGACACAAAGGAGUUUGAAACAGAAAUUUUGAGGCUUAAGCAUCUGUUGGCUGAGAAGAAUGAUACAAAUAACUAUGCAGCUCUAGUGUCUCCUGAGACAAUAACUGAAGUCAUACAGAAGCAAACUCCAGGUUCACCUGCAAGAACACCGGUGUCAAACAGAACGAAUACAGUACAGUCCAGUGUGAAUGCCAUUGUCCACCAUGGUAGCUUUCAGGAUGAAGCUAGAGAGCAGGACUGC